GCAUGGCUCAUUUUAAAAGUAUGCUGAGCACCUGUGAAAUAUAAUGCUCCGAGGACAGGACUAGAGAUUAUAAAUGGCAUCUUCAACUAUUUUUCGACUGCAUUAGCACAUUUUGCCUGGAUUGUGAAUUCUGGUAACUUUUUGUUUUAUAAGUUAUCUACAGAAUGGGUAGAUCUUUUGUAUAAGAUAAUGGUGUCAUAAAAUUUCCCCACAAUAUAGCAAAACCUAUUAAGCAGUCAACCUCCCCGCCCCCACACAAAGACAUUCAUCACUUUGUUACUUUGACACCUUGACUCUUGGUAGAGACAGUUCUCUCCUUUUGAUUUUUAAAAAUGUUUUAGAUAUGAGAUAUUUUCAUUCUUAAAAGGAAUCUUGACUGUAACACUUGUCCUUAAUCUUUCUUAUAGAAUAAUAUACGUCAUCUUCAUAAAUAGUCUAGAAUUCUAAGUCAAUUAAUGGAACAAAUAACAAUAUGAUCACGUGUCUUAGAUGAUCUUGGUUAAGUAGAACCCUAGUCUACUGAGGUGUCUUACAGUGAUUGAUCUUGAUAAAUCCUGCAUCCUGCUGUGUAAGGUCAGUAGUAUCUGGACACACAGAAUAGCUCUGUAGCUCUGAUGGCAAGAAUGUGCCUAAGCCUCUCAAGGUGAAGGAUAAGGACAGAGGUUCUGGAGUCAGACAGAUUGCUAUGCUAAUUCAGGCCCAUUAUUUGCUAACUGACUGUGUGCUGUCAAGCAAGUUACAGCCCCCCAUCGAAGCUCUUCUGUAAGAUGAAGCCAACACAGCGUUAGGGCGAGGAUUAAGUGGGAGAGUCCUUAGCUGGUAGAGCUAAGUAGCCGGCAUAGCACCUGGUACUGCAUAAAUGCACAUUUCUCCCACUUCUUAUUUUCCUAAAAUAAUAUAUUUUCCUCUGUAUUAGUCAGCAUUCUCCAGAGAAACAGAACAGGGUAUGUGUUUAAUGCAAUACGUACUCAUUAAAAGGACUUGGUUCACACAAUUAUGGAGGCUGAGAGCGCCCACAAUCAGCUAUGCAAGCUGGAGAGCCAGCAAAGCCUGUGGUAUAAUUGAGUCUCACUUUGAGGGGAAUAAAUCUCGGUCCAAGGGCAGGAGAGGAUGAGAUUCGACGUCUUCGCCCAAGGAUGGGACAGACGAAGGGGUCAAAUGCUUCCUUCCUCUGCCUUUCGUUCUACUCAGGCCCUCAAAGGACUGGAGGAAAGCCUCCCACAGCGGGUAGGGCAAUCCUCUUUCCUCAGUCUACAGAUUCAGACGUUAAUCUCAUCCACAGACACCCUCAUGGACACACCCAGAAAUACCAGUGAGUCUGGGCACUUGAUAGCCAGUCGAGCUGACAUAAAAUUUACUAUCAUAUCCUCUUGUUUUCCUUUUCUAUUAUUCUGAAGUCCCAGGAAACAUCAUCAAUCAAAUAUUUCUUAAGCACUGGUUUCUUUUCAUUUUGUAGUGGAGCUGCCUCCAAAUCCGUAUCAUAGAAAGUAAAGUCAAAAGUAAGACUACAACUUUACAGUUUGCUUGGUUUAAUUCAUAUCUGAGGCACAGGAAGUCACACAGGACGAAAAGUUUAUUUCCCUAAGUCUGUCUGAUGCUAAAGUUUGUGUUCUCUGAGUUUCUGUCAGGGCUCAUGCUAAGGAACCUGAUUAGUACCCAUGAGGACUCGGGUUUGAUCCCUGGCUCCGCUCCGUGGGUUAAGGAUCUGGUGUUGCCGUGAACUGUGGAGUAGGUCACAGAUGUGGCUCAGAUCCCGUGUUGCUGUGGCUGCGGUGUAGGCUGGCAGCUAGAGCUCCAAUUUGACUCUGAGCCUGGGAACAUCCAUAUGCCAUGGAUGUGGCCCUAAAAAGACAAAAAAAAAAUCAAAAUAAUAAAGUUCACAUUCUCAACUAGUAGAUUUUACCACCUCUUAAAAACUGAUGCUAAGAAGGAUCGUUAUACUAAUCCUAAAUAUCUGAAAUUGUAAGGGCUGUUUUGCAGCCUAGGCAUGGGAGAGUCUGACUUCCUUAAUUUAGUGGCAUUUGAUUCAUGACAGACAAAGCUUCCCUGAAAACAACAUAGAAAAAUAAAUGCUUAUUCUGAACUAUUUUUGGAAAAAGUUUUUUCUUAAUGAAUAAUAGGAACCACCAUUGACUGAAUGCUCUGUGCUAGUUUACCUUCACUGGCCCUUUGCAAGUUUUAGCUCCCUUGAUCUGCAUAUCAACCUUUUGGAGAAUUAUUACUAUUCGUAUUUGGUGGAAGGAAAUUAGGGAUGAAGACAUUUAAGGAUCUGGCUUAAGAGCUUAGAGGUGGAACUGCUAGGAUUAACCCAGGCCUGAGUCUCUGCGCAGUUUGGGUUCAUAUUCUUGAUUUUUUAAAAACCCACCUCUCCAUAACUAUUUUUGUUAGGACCAUCAAGCAUGACAUGAUAUACAUUCCUUUCCCUUAGGCUGAUAAUAGCAUUGAUUGCCUUGAAAAAUUACUAACUGGCUUAUUUACCACGUAGAAAACUGAAAGAUUAGAACAGAGAUCUCCACUGGGGACUAUUUUUCCCACCAGGGGGCACUGGACCAUGUCUGAAACAAUUCUGGUUCUCACAAUGGGGAGGGAGUUGCUGCGGGCAUCUCAGGUGUGGGGGGCAGGGAUGUUGCUACACAUUUUUACAAUGAACAGGACGGCCCACAACAAAGAAUGGUCUCAAAUGCCAACAGUGCUGGCUGGGGUAGAGAAAUUCUGCUCAAGAAAACCUCAUUCUCAGCUCCUUAGUACAACAUUUUCAAUCGAAUAAACAUGGGGGAUUCCCAAAACAAUGCGUUAAUAAAUUAAUGUUGGUUGCUAGGAGAUUUUUCUGGCUGGGAAAAUAAUAGAAGUCUGAUCUUGGCCCCACUGGACUUUCACAGUCAAUGGCUAUUUGAACAUGUAAAUAGCUUACAUCAAUUAAAUUAUAAGACAAAUGAUUAUGAAACCAUGAAUGACAACUAAACGUUAAUUAGCAGUGAUCGGAUAUACCUACAUAGCUUAUAACCAUGCUUAUGUUUUUUUUUUUAAAAACAUAUUUCACUAAGUAAGAAUGUAAGUACAACUCAGGAUGUGUAGAAUUUGUUUUUUCACAGCUAUGAAAACCAAUGGUUUCCAAAGUCUAAACAGGAUGAUUUCUGAAUAUUUUAUAUCUAGUCAUUAAUUCAUUUUCCAUCUCAAGAACUUAGAAAUGAGAAGGAAGCACUCCAAGGACUACUGCAAUUUAGUCCUUUCCUAUAAUAAUUUUUUCCUAUGACAGCUGCAUUUCUGUUAGGGGGGCACUGACCGAAACUGCCCACCUUGGCCAAGACAACCAUAGCCACUUGUGUGACUUGUCUCACAGCAGGAGCCCCUGACAAGGGACAGGAUGCUGCCCGGAAGGCUCACCGGGAGGAUUUGGGAAGGGCCAGUAGGAGGGAGGAGACCACCAACCUCCCAGGAUCCUUGGCGCUGGAAUCCACAUUGGCUGAGAGGUGCACCCACCACCAGGAAGGACCCUGGGCCAGACCAAGGACGGGCCGAGCAAGAUGACUGGUCGGAGACAGCCAGGAAACGAGCCCCAGUCCCAGAAAGCCUGAGACUGCGAGCCCCCUGGCGGAGCAGUUCUCCUGGGUUCCCUCAGCCUGCUGCUCUCCUCCUGGGCGCCCCGACCCAGGAAAGUCUUUUGCUUUGUCAGCAUGUGCGUCUCCUCAGACGAUUCAUUUCCAGCUAUUAGACAAGAGCCCAAGCUCAGGGCCGGGAAGGGGUCCCCCUUCCUGUAAUAUUUCUAUAUAUGGUUGGAAAAUAACUGACUUUACCUAACAUCAGAAUAAUGGAAAAUAAAAAUUUGGAUAGAAGUCUUGUUAUCACCACAGCAUCAUUCAGCUAGACAGUGGGAUUUUCCUCACCAAACCUUCACUACAAAAGGGGAAGGCACGAAAGCUUUCCAAUCAGGGUGAGUGAUUUUUCCCAGGACCUCCCUGAAGCAAGGGCAGCAGGACUUUGAACAGCUGGUCUGUGACACUGACUCCUAAGGCAUCUUCCGCUGCCAUCUCUUCAUUCAUUCUCAGCAUUGCUUAUAAAGCACUAACUUUCUGUGGUCCUGGUAUUGUGUUAUAUACUCAAGAUUUAGUGAUAAACAGUGAUUCGAAAGACAGAAUGCCUGCUCUUAAAGAGCUGUUUGGAUAGAGGAAGACGGGAUUUAAAAGUAAGCCCCAACUGCAGUAAGUGCUUUCGAAGAGGAAAUGAGGCAGGAGCGGCUCACCAGGGACCAAUCAUGAAUG
rnacentral:lncRNA from 1 species